AACGCAAGUUGCGUCAAUUUGAAAAAAUUGGCAUAUUUGUAUGAGUUUUAUUAAAACCAAUAAAGUUUUUAAUAAAAAGAAUGGGGUUAUUUGUUUUUGAUCACGAAAACAGAUUGCCUUGAAAUUUUAAUAUACACAAUUUUGAAAAUUUUGCUUUGAUUGUGAAAUUUCUAAUAAGAAAAAUCAUUCUCAGUUGUUUUUCAUUCAAUUUAUUUUGAGUGAAAACAAUUUGAAUUGCAAUGGUUUUUUUAAUAAAACAAUCAUUAUACACAAAAUCACUUCACACAUAUAUAAACUCAUAUCAAAUAAGAACACCCGCUGAACUUAA
rnacentral:misc_RNA from 1 species